GCUAUCCAUUUACAUUCUCAAGGAGGCAGCAGCGUUCAUCCCCGAACUCUGCAAACAAAUGAAGAAAAUAGCAGGGUCCUUCCUUGACAAAGUACUAUACAGCUGAAGAACAUCUCGAAUACAAUUUUGGUGGGAAAGGAGCCAAUUGAUUUCAACAGAAUCAGAUCUGAGCUUCAUAAAGUCUUUGAAGUGACUUCACAGAGACGCAGACAUGUGCACUUGAAGAUGCUGCCCCUUCCCUGGUACCUAGCAAAGCUCCUGCCUCUUUGUGUGCGUCACUGUGAAACCCCCACCCUUCUGCCUCGUGCUAAACGCACACAGUAUCUAGUCAGGGGAAAAGACUGCAUUUAGGAGAUAGAAAAUAGUUUGGAUUACUUAAAGGAAUAAGGUGUUGCCUGGAAUUUCUGGUUUGUAAGGUGGUCACUGUUCUUUUUUAAAAUAUUUGUAAUAUGGAAUGGGCUCAGUAAGAAGAGCUUGGAAAAUGCAGAAAGUUAUGAAAAAUAAGUCACUUAUAAUUAUGCUACCUACUGAUAACCACUCCUAAUAUUUUGAUUCAUUUUCUGCCUAUCUUCUUUCACAUAUGUGUUUUUUUACAUACGUACUUUUCCCCCUUAGUUUGUUUCCUUUUAUUUUAUAGAGCAGAACCCUAGUCUUUUAAACAGUUUAGAGUGAAAUAUAUGCUAUAUCAGUUUUUACUUUCUCUAGGGAGAAAAAUUAAUUUACUAGAAAGGCAUGAAAUGAUCAUGGGAAGAGUGGUUAAGACUACUGAAGAGAAAUAUUUGGAAAAUAAGAUUUCGAUAUCUUCUUUUUUUUUGAGAUGGAGUCUGGCUCUGUCUCCCAGGCUGGAGUGCAGUGGCGUAAUCUCGGCUCACUGCAAGCUCCGCCUCCCGGGUUGACACCAUUUUCCUGCCUCAGCCUCCUGAGUAGUUGGGAUUACCAGUAGAUGGGACUACAGGCACCUGCCAACACGCCCGGCUAAUUUUUUUGUAUUUUUAGUAGAGACGGGGUUUCACCAUGUUAGCCAGGAUGGUCUGGAUCUCCUGACCUCGUGAUCCACCUGCCUCGGCCUCCCAAAGUGCUGCGAUUACAGGCAUGAGCCACCGCGCCUGGCCGCUUUCGAUAUUUUCUAAACUUUAAUUCAAAAGCACUUUGUGCUGUGUUCUAUAUAAAAAACAUAAUAAAAAUUGAAAUGAAAGAAUAAUUGUUAUUAUAAAAGUACUAGCUUACUUUUGUAUGGAUUCAGAAUAUACUAAAUUAACUUUUUAAAACACAACUUUUAAAAAAUGUAUCAAAAUAAUAAACGUGUUCUGAU
rnacentral:lncRNA from 10 species